AUGCCAUCAUGAGGGAAUUUUCGCAACAACUCCUUGAACAGCUCCCAUGCCUCAUAUAAAGGUUCUUCAUUAAGUUGUUGAAAUGAAUUAAUCUCAUUUCUGAGUUU